rnacentral:rRNA from 1 species
UACGGAGGGGGCUAGCGUUGUUCGGAAUUACUGGGCGUAAAGCGCACGUAGGCGGCUUUGUAAGUUAGAGGUGAAAGCCCAGGGCUCAACCCUGGAAUUGCCUUUAAGACUGCAUCGCUUGAAUUGUGGAGAGGUAAGUGGAAUUCCGAGUGUAGAGGUGAAAUUCGUAGAUAUUCGGAAGAACACCGAUGGCGAAGGCAGCACCCUGGACGAGUACUGACGCUGAGGCGCGAAAGCGUGGGGAGCGAACGGG